UUGUGGGUAAAAUGCUUUCACCAUGAUAUGUGGCAGUCACGUGAUUUGUCACAUGAUAUGUCACAUGAUUUUGAUUGGAAAAUUGACUUCCUUGCAUCUUGGCUUCAACAGACCCAAAAGGAAAUGUUCAAAAACCUCCAAAGGAGAAUCCAAGCAAAUAGGUACUUUGCAGUGGUUUAAGUUUUACCCUUCUACUGUGCAGAGCUGACCACUUUUCCUUGCUUCCUAGCAGAAUUCCCUGCUUCAGCUCUGGAGAAAAUGGGCCGCAACAAAGUGGAUGAUACCUGUUCCUGGAAGAAACAGAUCAACAAUAUCCGAAAAACAUUCAUCAUCAUGGAGGCACUGGGAUUGUAAUUACUGGUACCAUGGCUAAUCUCUGGCCUCCCCCAAUUGUGUUGCUAAGCUUUCAUUUACCAAGAGUGCAAAGGCCAACUGUCUGUCUGCCAAAAUGCUAAGGAAGACCAGAAUCAUCAUACCCAUGUGGCUAGAUCAGGAUUCUGUUAGAAAGACUGUGUGUAUGAAUGAGAUACGGUGUGAAGGUCAUUGAAGACAAACGUAAAAGACAGACUGCAAAGAGACAUAUCAGCGUCAGAGAAACCAUCAGUGUGUAUCCAUGGUCAAGAAUUGAUCAGAUUGGCAAAUUGAUGGCUCUAAAGGUGAAGGCAUGCCUAAAAACAACUGAUUAAUAACCAAGGAGAGGAUGAGCCUUUCGAGAUGUUUUGGGAAUGAGUAACAUCAACAAGAUAACAUGCCGGUCACAGACUGACACAGCAGAAUCUAUAGACUUCAACAGAGAAAAGGAUUAUAAAAGCAGGGUGCUUUGCUAUGGAACUUUGGGUUCAUCUUGCCACUAACUCCAAGAGCAUCAGAUCGAUUGACAGACACAGCC